AGUUGACGCUUGACGAGCAAGAUGGAGGCUUGGGAAAGAAGCGGGUCAAACGGAUUAAAUACGCGGAGAAAGAAUAACCGGAUGCAAGGAAUGUCUUAUGGAACUCCAGAUGAGGAUCAAGCUAGAAAGGAGAACCGAACACAUGUCUCGAAGCUUCCGCAACAAUCUUAUUUUGUUCUAGUUUAAAAAGUGGAUAUUGUAAACACUUGAAAUUAUAUUUUGGAAUGUUUUAAAUUAUGUAAAAACUUUAUCUUGGAAAAGUUUUUGUAAGCUUGCAUUGUCGUAUAAAA